GACGAACGCUGGCGGCGUGCCUAAUACAUGCAAGUCGAGCGGACCAAAGGGAGCUUGCUCCUGGAGGUUAGCGGCGAACGGGUGAGUACACGUGGGCAACCUGCCUGUAAGACUGGGAUAACAUCGAGAAAUCGGUGCUAAUACCGGAUAAUAAAAAGAACUGCAUGGUUCUUUUUGAAAGAUGGUUUCGGCUAUCACUUACAGAUGGGCCCGCGGCGCAUUAGCUAGUUGGUGAGGUAACGGCUCACCAAGGCGACGAUGCGUAGCCGACCUGAGAGGUGAUCGGCACACUGGGACUGAGACACGGCCCAGAC
rnacentral:rRNA from 1 species